rnacentral:rRNA from 1 species
UACGUAGGGUGCGAGCGUUAAUCGGAAUUACUGGGCGUAAAGCGUGCGCAGGCGGUUUUGUAAGCCAGAUGUGAAAGCCCCCGGGCUUAACCUGGGAAUGGCAUUUGGGACUGCAAGGCUUGAGGGCGAGAGAGGAGGGUGGAAUUCCUGGUGUAGCGGUGAAAUGCGUAGAGAUCAGGAGGAACACCCGUGGCGAAGGCGGCCCUCUGGCUCGACCCUGACGCUGAGGAGCGAAAGCGUGGGGAGCGAACAGG